GCCCGGGUGGCUCAGUCGGUUAAGCGUCUGACUUCAGUUCAGGUCAUGAUCUCGCGGUCCGUGAGUUCAAGCCCCGCAUUGGGCU
rnacentral:tRNA from 1 species